rnacentral:rRNA from 1 species
CAGUAGCCGCGGGAAUACGUAGGUGGCGAGCGUUGUCCGGAAUUACUGGGCGUAAAGGGAGCGCAGGCGGACAUAUAAGUCCAUCUUAAAAGUGCGGGGCUCAACCCCGUGAGGGGAUGGAGACUGUAUGCCUUGAGUGCAGGAGAGGAAAGCGGAAUUCCCAGUGUAGCGGUGAAAUGCGUAGAUAUUGGGAGGAACACCAGUGGCGAAGGCGGCUUUCUGGACUGUAACUGACGCUGAGGCUCGAAAGCCAGGGGAGCGAACGGGAUUAGAUACCCCCGUAGUCCCUGUCUCUUAUACA